rnacentral:rRNA from 1 species
AUAUGUACACAUUCAAUAAAAUGGUCAUUUAAGCAUAUUAAACAUUAAAUUACUUUCAAAUCCAUUUUCUUUCCUUUUUUAAAAAAAAAUUCCAGUUUUUGCUAAAUUGUAAUCCACCUUAUCCUAACUAAAGCUGCACCUGGAUCUAUUUUUUUUAAUUACUUUUAAUUUGAAUAACCUUUUUAAAAAGGUAUUUAUACAACGGUAUACAUACUUUUAGCAGGUAAGAUAUAUCGUGGGUUAUCGUUUAUUAGGCAGAUUCCUCUGAGAGUAUAGGAUGCCGCCAAGUUCUUUAGGUUUCAAGAUAGUAGCUAUUAGUAC